GAGACUCGCGUUCAGUUUCUCGUUGACUGGGAAGUAGGUAUUUUCCUAUAGGCGUUUCUAUAAUUAUGAACGCAUAUGCUGUAUUGACAGUAUUAACAAUAACGAUAGUUUCGUUGUUGCUGACCUUGCCAUUCUCGUCUGCACAAAAUAAUAAUCAAUUAUGGUUCAAUAAUGGACAAAGCAAUAUUAGCCAGUUUGGAACAGGCAGUAAUGCAGCAUUUAUGAUUCCGUCGUCUCUGAAUUUGAAAUCCGUGAACAUGGAACCUAUGACUCCGGCAUCCACAAUUGUAAAUAAGCCCUUAGUGGGCAAUACAAACUGGAUUAUCAAACUGGCAAUAAAGAUCAGUUGUCUUAACAGAGAUUCUACUAAGGAAAACUAUCCUAAUUGGUGCUUCCUUAACAGGGAUAAUCCUAACGGGUACUUUCCUACCAAUGAAUACUCUAAUAGCGAUUACUCUGAAGAGGCCAGUGCUACUGGAGAGUCUCUUAACAUAUUCAACAUCAAUUUCAAUAUAAUGUUCCCAAAUGGAGGCUAUCAUGAUAAGAAUUAUCCUAAUAACGGUAAUAGAGGGCAUCUUAACGCACAAAAUCUCAACACCGCCACUCCUAACGUGGUCCCUCUCAAGGAAGGCUACCCUAACGAAGGUUAUCCUAACGGGACUAGUAAUAAUGGAGGGUACCUUAAUGGACAAAAUCUCAACACUGUCUCCCUUAAUGUAGUCCUCCAGAUUGGAAACAAUCCUAACGGGUUUAAUAAUAACAGCGAGAAUCUUAACAAACAAAAUCUCAAUAUUAUCUCUCCUAACGUGGUCUCCUAUGAUAUAAACAUGACGAAACUAUCCGAAAAUAGGAACAAAACAGAAACACCAUUUCAGUCCUAUCCUAGUGACGUUAAUGAUGGUAUACCAGGAAUACACAAAACGCAGCAGGAUCGUGGACAGUGUAGAGACGAUGAGUUCCGCUGUGGAAGCAACGAGUGCGUACCGCCUAGUGUCAAAUGCGAUAAUAAAGCUGAUUGUAGCGACUCCAGCGAUGAGGCAUUCUGUAUUACGGAAGGAGAUCAAGAAAACGGUUGUGCAUUACCUGAGCAGCCGACAGGUGGACGUUAUAAGUUGGAAGGAUGCGAUGAGCUAUGCCGCAAACAGCCUGGCGAUAUAGUCCCGCAAUAUAGUAUUCUCACUUAUACUUGUAAUGAAGACUACACGUUGGACAGUAGCAGUACUACCAUUUGUGUCUACAAAACAUGGGAACAUCAGGUCUCCUGUCUCAAAAUUUGCCCGCCGUUGAACAGCACCAGCGUAGACAUUUCCUGCAACUACAGAGGAGAAGAGGUGUCUUGUAGCGAGCCUAUACUACCUGGGACACAAGCCACGUUGACCUGUAAACCAUUUUAUAGAUUACCUUUAAUCAGUCUGGAUAACUUGUCAAUGGUGUGUCUCGACAGUGGAGUGUGGGAUCACGCCAUGUUUCAUUGUGAAUUAGUGUGUGGCAUAAUCAUCCCGCAAAACAAUCCACUAAUUGUAGUUGGCAACGGCAUUAAGUCCACAUUAGGCUCGUUUCCGUGGCAUGUUGGUAUCUACGUAAAAGAUAGCGCCAAAACGUACAAGAAUAUAUGCGGUGGCAGUCUGAUAAGCAAGAAUCUCGUCGUCUCAGGUAAGUCAACGAACAGACAAAUCUAUUUUCUUCUCAUCGAUCCUUUAUACAAGUCUCGUUUUCUCUUUCCACCCGCAGCUGCACAUUGUUUCUAUGACGAGGUUGAAAAUAAACCUUACAACGCGUCGAAUUACGCUGUGGCUGCUGGCAAAUACUAUCGUUCUUGGGAUGCCCAGGAGAAGUACAGCCAGAAGUCGUUGGUGGAGUAUGUAAAAUUGCGCUCCGACUACUUUGGAACGAGAGGUAACCUUGCCGAGGAUAUAGCUUUGGUGAAACUACAGACGUCUUUAGAUUUUAACAUGUAUGUGUCACCCAUCUGUGUGGAUUGGCAAAAUAUAUACGACAAAGAGCAGCUGGAAGAGGGACAAUUAGGAAAGGUAGAUAAACGAGUAUAAAUGGUAUAUAAAUCGCAAGAAAGUCUAUUGGUUGGAUAUCUUCACAUAACUCAGUUAGAAUGAAGAUGUUUUGUAAUCUAGCGUGAGUGCGGCGCAAUCAAUUGGAAGAUUAUCUGAUUUAUGGGAAACAACGAACGUCUCGUCGCAUUUUUCAUCAUAAAAGGAUAAAAAUUAAAUUUAAAAGGAUCUCAAACAUGAUUGUGAGUUUAUGACUGUAACUUGAGCUUGAGCGAAAACAUCAAUGGCGAACUUUAAACGCCUUCAUGCAGUUUAAUCAAAUAGCAGAUAUUUCGUAAUGGAGGCACGUAUACGUAACAUUCAGAAAGUUAUCAAAAAAUUGUCAAAAGCAUCAAGAAGACACGUUUCUCAAUAUGUUUUUUAGUUAUAUAUCGUUGCGAGUCGUUGUGUCAAUGUUACUUCAUCGUGCGUCUGCGCGCGAAUUAUAAGAGUAAAUUUACAAUUGAACAGAUCAGUCAUCCAGAUUUUUACAUGACAAAUAUUCCGUCGUCAUCUUCAGAGACAGGAGAAUCGAAAUCAAAUGUAAGAUCAAAAGAGAGAAUAAAACAACAGUGCGUUCGCUCGGUGAUUUCAGCUGGUCGGCUGGGGUAAAGAUACCACUCUUAAGCCCACAGAGGAAUUAUUCGAAGUUAAUAUGCCGUACGUGGAGCGACAGAAAUGUCGGGAUAACGUACCUUUAGAAUUUCGCGGAUUCAUCACGUUCGAUAAGUUCUGCGCCGGCUUUAUGAAUG
rnacentral:misc_RNA from 1 species